UCUCAGUUCGGAUUGUAGGCUGCAACUCGCCUACAUGAAGUCGGAAUCGCUAGUAAUCGCGGAUCAGCAUGCUGCGGUGAAUACGUUCCCGGGCCUUGUACACACCGCCCGUCACACCAUGGAAGUCGGUAAUGCCCGAAGUCAGUAGCCUAACCGCAAGGAGGGCGCUGCCGAAGGCAGGAUUGAUGACUGGGGUGAAGUCGUAACAAGGUAUC
rnacentral:rRNA from 1 species